CUGGUUCGAAAUAAACUGUUAAUUUGAAAAUUGCACAGUGAAGUUUAAUGUGUCAAUUUAUGCAGAUAAUAGUUGCCAUAUUUCGUUGCAAUUGCAGAUCAGAACGUGAUAUAUAGCCCAAUGUUGAUAAUGGCAGUUCCGUGUAAAUGUUUUAAUGCAAUAAUGGUUCUUAUCAUGAAUUCUUUAUUAAAACUAAUCCUGUUAUGACACAAAAUGGAAAAUAUAUGUAAAUGCAUUUGCUGUAAUUAUUCAUUAACUGUUAUUGUGCAACACAUAAUUAACUUGUGAAGAGCAUAUAUAUAUAUAUAUCUUCUUGAUUUCCAAUACUGGUAGCUAUAGGUUCCAUGGGCUUCUUUCUCCCAUUGAAUAUAUCUGAAAACAUUUCACUUGAGUUACUUUUUAUCUCUUGCACAAUUAAAUGUGCAGCUUUACAAAUUAUGCAUUAAUUUUAUUAAUUUAUUUAUUGUCUUUCUGUAAGUAGUCAUUAAUAUUCAUCUGUAUUGUGUCUGUCUGGUCCA
rnacentral:lncRNA from 1 species